GAUGAACGCUAGCGGCAGGCCUAACACAUGCAAGUCGAGGGGCAGCACAGAAACAGCAAUGUUUUGGUGGCGACCGGCGGACGGGUGCGUAACGCGUAUGCAACCUACCUUUAACAGGGGGAUAACGGAGAGAAAUUUCCACUAAUACCCCAUAACAUCGAUCAAGGCAUCUUGAUUGGUUGAAAACUCCGGUGGUUAAAGAUGGGCAUGCGUUGUAUUAGGUAGUUGGUGGGGGAAUGGCUCACCAAGCCUACGAUACAUAGGGGGACUGAGAGGUUAGCCCCCGACACUGGUACUGUGACACGGACCAGACUCCUACGGGAGGCAGCAGUUAGGAAUAUUGGUCAAUGGGGGCAACCCUGAACCAGCCAUGCCGCGUGCAGGAAGACGGCUCUACGAGUUGUAAACUGCUUUUAAACAGGGAUAAAGCACAGUAUGUAUACUGUGUUGAAGGUACUGUAAGAAUAAGGAUCGGCUAACUCCGUGCCAGCCGCCGCGGUAA
rnacentral:rRNA from 1 species